AGUGAACGCUGGCGGUAGGCCUAACACAUGCAAGUCGAACGGCAGCACAGUAAGAGCUUGCUCUUACGGGUGGCGAGUGGCGGACGGGUGAGGAAUACAUCGGAAUCUACUUUUUCGUGGGGGAUAACGUAGGGAAACCUACGCUAAUACCGCAUACGACCUACGGGUGAAAGCAGGGGAUCUUCGGACCUUGCGCGAUUGAAUGAGCCGAUGUCGGAUUAGCUAGUUGGCGGGGUAAAGGCCCACCAAGGCGGCGAUCCGUAGCUGGUCUGAGAGGAUGAUCGGCCACACUGGAACGGAGACACGGUCCAGACUCCUACGGGAGGCAGCAGUGGGGAAUAUUGGACAAUGGGCGCAAGCCUGAUCCAGCCAUACCGCGUGGGUGAAGGAGGCCUUCGGGUUGUAAAGCCCUUUUGUUGGGAAAGAAAAGCAGCAGGUUAAUACCCCGCUGUUCUGACGGUACCCAAAGAAUAAGCACCGGCUAACUUCGUG
rnacentral:rRNA from 1 species